rnacentral:rRNA from 1 species
UACAUAGCUUAAUGAGGGGAACUCAGGGAACUGAAACAUCUAAGUACCUGAAGGAAGAGAAAGAAAUUCGAUUCCGUAAGUAGCGGCGAGCGAACGCGGAUUAGCCAAAACCAAUAAAGUUUUCUUUGUUGGGGUUGCGGACAUAUCAUAACGAAGAGGUAUCGUAAUUGAAGAGGUUUGGAAAGACCCACCACAGAAGGUAAUAGUCCUGUAUGUUAAACGAGAAGACUUUA